GCGGGUGUAGCUCAAUGGUAGAGUCCCAGCCUUCCAAGCUGGCUACGAGGGUUCGAUUCCCUCCACCCGCUCCA
rnacentral:tRNA from 1 species